CCCAGCCAGGUAUUUCAAGCACUACAAGCACAAGCAUUUUCUCCUCCCCCUUGCAUUCUUUGUUCCCCUUGCCGAGUCAUUUCCUGCAGCUCUGCUCUCCCGGGGCUCUUGGUGGGGACGUGUGCUCUUCUGAGGCUCUCUCACACAUGCCGGAGGAUUGGUCUCACAAUGCGCCUUGUUUAUCUCAUUCUCGCUGCCUUCCUGAGGCAACCACUGGAUGCCAUGGGGCAGACCCUCUGUCACCCAGCAAGAAGGACAAGUCACCGUGAAACAGAAAGAAACGUUCCAGACCACUUGCACGUAUCAAAUCCCCAGCUUAUAUGCUUUGUACUGGUACCAGCAGAAGAAGGGACAAGCCCCUCAGCUGGUCAUAUAUCACACCAGAGCAGGCACCAAGCAGAGUGACCGUCUCACCACGGAGAUGAACACUGAGAGGAAAUCCAGCGUUCUGCGGCUGAAGGAAGUCGAGCUCUCUGACAGCGCCUUGUACCUCUGUGCUGUGAGUGACACCCUGGUGCAGGGAGCUACACUGGCUGUGCAACAACCCCGGAUGGGGAGGGGAUGUAUGUGUGCAAGGCAGAGCUCCGGGAUGGGGCCCUCUUCUCUCUUUUGGCUGACUGCUUCCCCUGUGCACUCCGAGAUCUGCCAGCCAGAUCCUCUUUCCCAAUGGGACUGGUGUCAGUGGCUUGAAAGGAAGGAGAAGGUGGUGAAAGAGGCCCUGCCCUCAAGGUGUUCUCCCUGUGGGAGGGCUGAAUGAUGACAGUGGAGUACUGGCACUGCCUGAAGCAGGGCUCAUUGUGGCUGCUGACCAGUGAGGUUGGGCCACUGGGCCAGCACAGCAUGCACCGGUCAUACAGCGACAUGUCUUAAGGCUGCAGGUGAACCUGGGAGAGAGGGCAGGCAGGAAGAAGAGCACAGGGAAAAGUGAGGAGCAAAAUGUCUUCAUUCAGACAUGAUCCAAAAAGAGUGGUUAGGACCAAUAAGGCUGCUGCCUCACUCUUAGAUGAAAAUCCAGCUCACCCAGGUCCAUCUACAAUGCAACUACACGGUCUCUGAGUCACACUUUCCUAAUCCCUCUCUCAUGACCACCAUCGCCAGGGCGACAGGCUGAGAAAUCCUGAGCAACCUGAUGUGAUGAGACAGAUCACUGUUUCUGUUCAUUCCCAGUGUGCUGCUUGUUCUCAUACUGAUAUCACUCAUAACAUCAAAAGCAGGUGGAGGGAACAGCACUCAUGCACACUGCUGCUCUUGUAAAAAGAUGCAUGAACUCAUGGGUCUACACAGAGGCACUCCUGGAUGCAUUCUUGUUAGGGAAGACACCACCGUCAGGGGAGAUACCAUCCCAAGGGAAUACAACAUCCUGAGGACCUCCUGGCUCCUAGGACCAGUUGAGGAGCUGAGCCUCUCUUCCCGCUGAAUUGGGACGCCUUUAGGUGACAUUUGA